rnacentral:lncRNA from 1 species
CUAAAACUAUGAAAAUCCUAGAAGAAAAUCUAGGAAACACCAUUCCGGAUAUCAAUCUUGGAAAUUUCUGUCUAAGUCCCCAAAACCAACUGCAACAAAAAGAAAAUUUACAAGUGGGACCUAAUUAAAGAGCUUCUGCACAGAAAAAGAAACUAUCAAAAGAGUGAACAGACACCCCACAGACUGGGAGAAAAUAUUCAUAAACUAUGCAUCUGAUAAAGAUCUAAUAUCCAGAAUCUAUAAGGAACUUAAAUAAUUGAAUUAGCAAAGAACAAGUAACUUCAUUAAAAAGUGGGCAAAGGACAUGAACCUUUACUUCUCAAAAGAAGCGCACAAUGUGUUAAUUACUUCAAAGACAAAAUCGCUGUCCAGUAUCCAGAGGCAGUAGCUACAGUACCUAUGAUCAAGCAGCCCCUGAGGUAGGGCAUUGGCUGUGAUUCUGACUUCCUAGAACCCCUUUGUUUCUGAUUUUUUGCCAUGAGAUUUUUGCAAUACAUAACAUUCUGUAAAUCUUUUUUUUUUUUUUUUUUUUUUUUUUUUUGCUCAAGUUACUAAGAGAUAGUUACUAUGGUUUGUAAUUAAGAACCUUAACAGGGCCAGGUGCGGUGGCUCACACCUGUAAUCCCAGCACUUUGGGAGACCGAAGCCGACAGAUAACGAGAUUCCUCUGGCUGUACAUGAAGAAUGGCAGAAGUGGGGCCAAACAGGAAAAGAAGUAGAAAAUGCUAUAAUAAUAGUGGAGAUAAUUGCGAUAAUAAGAACAUUUGAAAAGAUUUUAGAAAUGAAAUCUGUUGAAGUAAUGAUUGAUUCAUCAGGUUGUGGAAGGAAGCUAAUUGUAAGGGCACGCACACUUGGGUACGUAAGGAGGUGGCUUGCCUGCAAGAGGGAACUAACCAAUCUAAACUCUGAAGUUUCCUUGAAGCCUAAUGGUUUCAACAUCUUUGUGUGCUUGAAACCCAGUGAGUACCUCCUCCCCACCACUUAGGAAGCUUUUUUCCUGCUCCCCACAGUCUGAUGGGACUAUCAGUCCUUUUGAGCUUUGAAAUUUCCAGCUCAAUUCUUCCAUCCAACUAUACUCUCUAGUAGGAAUGCCCUUUGACUUCACGCUUAUCAAAAGUGAUGAGGGAAGGGAAGAUAAAAUGU